UGACCUGCUUCAUGUAGUUCUCCUGGAACAUAGGGUCAGUUUCAGCAAAUAUGACAGAAAGUUAGUUUUAUAAGUCUUACCUACUGCACCUUUAAAUCGCGAGGUGCAAAUUCAUCCUAUAUGGGCAUAAUUCCUGGGGAUACUGACCUACUAAACGGCAGUUUCCCAUUGACAGGAGAGGAAGGGGUAAACUGAGACACAUUGUGUGUUUGUGUAAGUCCUUGUUCUCCCGCAUGCUACUUCUCUUGGUAGACCUAGGUGUGUCGGCCUUUGCAAACAUUCUUAUAAGGUUUCUUUGUGUUCUAGUCCUUUUAUUGUGUAACUUUGAAGAAGCUGCCUUUUUUUAAAGCCCAUAAACUAUACAGACUUAGUGAUAGACAAUUGUGUUGGCUUUCUAUGUCAUCUGCUUACUUGCAAAGCAAACAGGGAUGUAGAGGUUGCGGGCUUCGGUAGAGACAUUAUGCAUUUUUCUGGUCACUGAGGGAGUUUGUGCGCUGUAAGGUGUGAGUGUUCACAGUGGAUCAACUGAAAGGACAACUUGGGUGUUAUUUUCAUAGCGAUCGGACAAGUUGUAAACAAACCAACUGUUAUCCAGAUUAUUUAAACCACAUGUUCGGAGGCAAACAUUAAAGUGAGUGCACCUGAAAUACCUGAAAGCAGGUAUUUCCCAAAGGUAGCUUUUUUUUGAGAACCUAUCCUUUAAAACCUGUCUUUUGCAACUUUCUCUGAUAGUAUAUUAAUUAGUAUAAGAAGCUACAGCCAAAACUACAGAUACAAAAUGUAAGUGGUUUAAGUAAUGUGUUUUUUUUCUUCCUCAACGUUUCCCCAGUUAAGGACACACUGUUGCAGAUACUUGAUGAUCAAGAAGAACAAGGAGAACCAAAAACAGAAGUGGACUCUUUAUGAUCUUUUUUUCUGAGGCUCCAAAGUACAGUACCAUUAGCUAAGCGUAGAUUGUAGUAGUAAGACAUUCCCAGCAUUACGAUGACAAUCUUUUGAACUCAAUGCUGAAUAAAAAAAAU